rnacentral:tRNA from 1 species
CAUUUUUUUGAUAAUUUUGAUAAAUUAUAAAAUUUAUGAAAUAUUUAAAAUGUUAAAUACAUUUUUAUUAAAUUAAAAUUAUUAAUUAUAAAACAAUAUUAAAUAUAUUUUAAUUUUUUUAAAAUUAUUUUGAAAUUAUAUAAGUUAAAAUUUUAUAUUUUUUAAUUUAGAAAUUGAAACAAUAAAAAUGU